UUUUUUUUUUCCACCAUAACCUAAAUCCUAAAUCUAACCUUAAAUCUAACCAAAACCUAACCCUUACCUUAAACAUAAAUCUUACCUUAGCUUUUAAUCAACUCUUAUGUUAAUCCUAAACUUAAUUUAAACACAAACCCUAAAUUCAAUGCUAACUCUAACCCUAAUGCAAACUUGAACAACUCUAGUCAAAACCUAACCCUAGCCCUAAUCCUAAAUGAAUCUUAACCUAGCCAUUAACCAAAUGCUAAACAUAAAUCUAAUUCUAAUUUAAAAACAAACCCUAAACUUGAAGUUAACUCCAACACUAACCUUGAACUUAACCAUAAACUCAACUCUAACCCUAAAUCUAAAGCAUCCUUAAACCUGCCUCUUUACCUAAACUUAACACUAAUUUAAACCCAAGUAAUAAACUCAAGUCUAACUCUCACCCUAACCCUAUCCCUAAUUAUAAACUCAACGCUAAUCACAACUCUAACUCUAAUUCUAACUCAAAUCAUAACUAUUACACAAAACCUAACUCAAAAUGAAACCUAGCACUCACCUAAACCUAAACCUAAACCUAACCCUUAUAAUAAAGCUAGACCUAACCCUAAUUUAAAAUCACAUCCUAACCUCAACGUUAACUCAAAUCCUUAUGCUAACCCUAAUCAUCAACUCAAUGCUAACCUCAACCUAAACCUUAACUCUUAUCCUAACCCUUACCUCACUUUAACUCAAAAUAGAACCCUAACCUUAACCCUAACCCUAAACUGAACUCUAACCCUCACCCUUACUCUCAUUCUUCUUCAACCUUAGCUCUAAUAAACCCAAACUUAAGUUUGAAAGUACAGUUUAAAGAUGCAUAUGAUGAUGUUGUAUAUUUAACUUCAUGCAUUGGUUAGCAACAGUAAUAAUAUCUUGCUGGCUUCCAUUGAACAUGUAGUAUGCAACUGAUAUAAAAUAUACAUAUAUAUGUAUAUAUAUAUACAUAUACACACAUUUUUCUCAUUUUAUUUUGAUGAAAGGACACCUGGCGUGAUUGAGCAACUUUCUUAUGACCACAGCUAGGAAUUCAGAGAACCUGAAUGGGAAUGAUGAUUUUAAAAUUUCAAAACAUGUUUCCUUUCUCUGUAUAUCCAAACUAGUCAUUAUUUUUUUGUUCUUGAUACAUUGUUGAUACCUGUCUUUUAAUUUCUUAGGUAGAUGAUGGAAUUAUUCUAAUCUAUUUCCGUCAUUUCUUUGACAAAUGAUCUAUAUUUUGUUAUAGUUCUAGAUGACACCAAACCUAAUGAAUGACCUUAUUAUAAAAGAAUAUUUGAAUUCUGAGCUAUAGGGCAAUUAUAGGUUUCCCUCUACCAUGUUUUCAAUUCAUGCUUUUGCAGGGCUCUUGAUAAAAUAAAUAAACAACAAUUUCUUGAACUCCCAAUGCAGUU